rnacentral:rRNA from 1 species
AGAGUUUGAUCCUGGCUCAGAAUCAACGCUGGCGGCGUGCCUAACACAUGCAAGUCGCACGAGAAAGGGGAGCAAUCCCUGAGUAAAGUGGCGCACGGGUGAGUAACACGUGAAUCAUCUACCUCCGAGUGGGGAAUAACCUAGAGAAAUCUGGGCUAAUACCGCAUAACGCUUACGAGUCAAAGCAGCAAUGCGCUUGGAGAGGAGUUCGCGGCCGAUUAGCUAGUUGGCGGGGUAAUGGCCCACCAAGGCGAUGAUCGGUAUCCGGCCUGAGAGGGCGCACGGACACACUGGAACUGAAACACGGUCCAGACUCCUACGGGAGGCAGCAGUGGGGAAUUUUGCGCAAUGGGGGAAACCCUGACGCAGCAACGCCGCGUGGAGGAUGAAAUAUUUUGGUAUGUAAACUCCUUUCGAUGGGGAAGAUUAUGACGGUACCCAUAGAAGAAGCCCCGGCUAACUUCGUGCCAGCAGCCGCGGUAAUACGAGGGGGGCAAGCGUUGUUCGGAUUUAUUGGGCGUAAAGGGUGCGUAGGCGGUUUGGCAAGUCUUAUGUGAAAUCUUCGGGCUCAACCCGAAGCCUGCAUAAGAAACUGCCGGGCUUGAGUAUGGGAGAGGUGAGUGGAAUUUCCGGUGUAGCGGUGAAAUGCGUAGAUAUCGGAAGGAACACCUGUGGCGAAAGCGGCUCACUGGACCAUAACUGACGCUGAUGCACGAAAGCUAGGGGAGCAAACAGGAUUAGAUACCCUCGUAGUCC